rnacentral:rRNA from 1 species
GACGAACGCUGGCGGCGUGCUUAACACAUGCAAGUCGAACGGUAAGGCCCUUCGGGGUACACGAGUGGCGAACGGGUGAGUAACACGUGGGUGAUCUGCCCUGCACUUCGGGAUAAGCCUGGGAAACUGGGUCUAAUACCGGAUAGGACCACUGCCUGCAUGGGCGGUGGUGGCAAGCUUGUGCGGUGUGGAAUGGGCCCGCGGCCUAUCAGCUUGUGGGUGGGGUGAUGGCCUACCAAGGCGACGACGGGUAGCCGGACCUGAGAGGGUGACCGGCCACACUGGGACUGAGAUACGGCCCAGACUCCUACGGGAGGCAGCAGUGGGGAAUAUUGCACAAUGGGCGCAAGCCUGAUGCAGCGACGCCGCGUGAGGGAUGACGGCCUUCGGGUUGUAAACCUCUUUCAGCACCGACGAAGCGCAAGUGACGGUAGGUGCAGAAGAAGGACCGGCCAACUACGUGCCAGCCGCCGCGGUAA